CGGGCCUGCUUGCAGCAAUGCGGGCUUCAUCGGUGAAGAAGGCAAAAACCUUCUUUAUAUUGGGCUUUUCGAAAGCUCCUUCAAGACUAGCCGUAUAGGGAUCUGACGAGCAGAGCUCUCUUUUUGUCAUUUGUCCAUCUUUCCCCAACCGCAAGCCAAGCAAGGAAGACGAUUGGAUCUACUCUAACAACGGCUCGAUUUCUCUUUCUCAGGAUUGACAUUAGAAAGCAUUGACAAUGUCUACGUCAUAUCUCCCUGCAACUACUGAUUCAAUUGCUCAGGCUUUAGAAGCAAAAACUCCAUCUGAAUCCAUUUCUAUCUAUUACCGCAUGCUAGAGAAUCCAUCUUCUUCUCCUGAUUCUCUAAGGAUAAAAGAACAGGCUAUCACAAAUCUCUCAGAUCUCCUCAGACAAGAGAAUCGAGCAGAGGAACUUAGAAGCCUUCUGACCCAGUUGAGGCCCUUUUUUGCCUUGAUUCCAAAGGCAAAAACUGCCAAAAUUGUUCGUGGGAUAAUUGAUGCUGUAGCUAAAAUACCAGGCACAUCUGAUCUCCAGAUUUCUCUUUGCAAAGAAAUGGUGCAGUGGACCCGCGCUGAGAAAAGAACUUUUCUCCGGCAGAGAGUUGAAGCAAGGCUUGCAGCUCUUUUGAUGGAAAACAAGGAGUACUCUGAGGCAUUAAAUCUCCUUUCUGGGUUAAUUAAGGAGGUGAGGCGACUGGAUGAUAAACUGCUUCUUGUGGACAUAGACUUGUUGGAAAGCAAGCUUCACUUUUCUCUAAGAAACCUCCCCAAAGCCAAGGCUGCACUCACUGCAGCAAGAACAGCGGCCAAUGCAAUUUAUGUUCCGCCAGCUCAACAGGGGACUAUAGAUUUGCAGAGUGGGAUCCUUCAUGCAGAAGAGAAGGAUUACAAAACUGCCUACAGCUACUUCUUUGAAGCAUUUGAAGCUUUUAAUGCUCUUGAAGAUCCCCGAGCAGUAUUUAGUCUUAAAUAUAUGUUGUUAUGCAAAAUAAUGGUGAACCAAGCUGAUGAUGUUGCAGGAGUAAUAUCAUCCAAGGCAGGGCUCCAAUAUGUGGGACCUGAGCUUGAUGCAAUGAAAGCUGUUGCUGAUGCUCAUGCAAAACGUUCUCUGAAGCUCUUUGAGAUCGCGCUCCGGGAUUUCAAGGCCCAACUGGAGGAAGAUCCAAUUGUUCAUCGGCAUCUCUCUUCGCUGUAUGACACUUUAUUGGAGCAAAACCUUUGCCGGUUAAUCGAGCCUUUCUCCAGGGUGGAGAUUGCUCAUAUAGCUGAUCUGAUUGAACUGCCUAUAGAUCAUGUGGAGAAGAAACUGUCUCAGAUGAUUCUGGAUAAGAAGUUUGCAGGGACUUUGGACCAGGGUGCUGGAUGCCUCAUCAUUUUUGAUGAUCCCAAGACAGAUGCAAUCUAUCAAGCAUCAUUAGAGACCAUUUCCAACAUUGGAAAGGUAGUUGAUAGCCUGUAUGUGAGGUCAGCCAAGAUAAUGGCUUAAAGUUCUGGAUGUAGAGGCAGUUUAGCUGCCACCAUGUUCUACUUCUCAGUUUUCACUGCAGUACCUGCUAGACAGAGAAUUCAUUUCAUAUUUUUAUUUAGCUCAAUCUGUUAUGGGUUAUAUCAUAUCUGCAUGUCGAUUAACUGAUUUUUUUAUUUUUAUGAUAUAUUUCAAUGGAAUUCUUCCAGAGCAGGAUUUGGCAGUCAUUUCUGUUUCUGUUCCUCAAGUUAUGUUUUCCCUCCAGAUCCCAGAAUAUGGCAUCUCUCUUGUCCGUUGGGAAGUUCAUUAAGACACGAUGUCUAGUAUUUGAUUUGAUAAAGUUUGAGCUGUAUUAUUGGAAUGGUCUGAUGCAGUGCAUGCGUGUAUGUCAAAUCAGAAAUUUAUUUGGGGUUAAUUUGGAUAGGUGGAUUUUGAUGUUUGGUUGGGCUAAAGUAUAUGAAUUUAAAUUUUACCCAUUUCAAAUGACAAAAGGUAUUAU
rnacentral:misc_RNA from 1 species